AAUGAUGGUGACUUAAACCCUCACCAGAGUACCCUUUAGGGCAAGUCUGGUGCCAGCAGCCGCGGUAAUUCCAGCUCCAAUAGCGUAUAUUAAACUUGUUGCAGUUAAAAAGCUCGUAGUUGAAUUUCAGCGUUGUUUUCGUGUUCCCUUUUGCGGGUGUCGUCUACUUCGCUUUUUUUUAUUACUCUGAGAAAAUUAGAGUGUUUCAAGCAGGCUUUUGUCUUGAAUACUUGAGCAUGGAAUAAUAGAGUAGGACCUUGGUUCUUCUUUGUUGGUUUUUGUUACCUUGGUAAUGGUUAAUAGGAACGGUUGGGGGCAUUCGUAUUUAAA
rnacentral:rRNA from 1 species